CAGAAACACUCAUGUUGCUGCAACUCAGGUACUCUGUGGCAACUGCAUCCCAGGUGAGUAAAUUGAAUUUAUUGUUGUGUAUAGGGCUAACCAAGCCCGGGCCCCCACAAGGGCUCACGAUGAACGGG